AUCCCCGCAGUGCGCCGGCCCGGCGCUGCCCCACAGCCCCACAGCGCCCGGCGGGUCCUGCGCCGUGCCACUGGCCCUCCGGCAGCGCCGGCACCGCGCCAUGUCCGCAGCCCGCUCGCCCCGCCGGGGUGGGGCCUGGCGCCCGGCCGCGCCUCCUUCCCGGUGCCAUGGCGUUCCCCGCGGUGCUCACCAGCAGAGGGACCUCCAAGGCGAGCAUGCCGCCUCUCCGGAGGCUCUGAUCCCGCUCCUCCCCACAGGACCCCGGGCCGGGCUCAGCGAUUCCGGUCUCAGCCUCAGCGUUCCCAUUGAUCUGAGUCCAUGCCGUAAUACGCCACAAAUGGCGCCCGAAACAGGCCUUAAAGAGACAGUAAUGGCUGUACCGGCGGCGUAGCUCAGCCGAACGACGGAGCUGAAAGGAAGCUCGAGGCGCACCAUAAUUGCCAUUCUGCAGGACAGAAGAUAAAGGACCUCGUUGGGUUCCUGCAUGAUGGGUCCAUCCAGCCUUGUCCUCUGCCUCCUCAUCGCAGAAGGACUGACCAUGCCAUGGAUCCCCAACCAGCCGAAAGAAAACAUCUGGGUGACAUUGGCUAAUGCGACCGGACAAGACACUGUGUGUCUGUCUGUUGCAACACCUAUGAACCCGUUUAGCACGUGUCUGGUGGGAUUGCCAUUGGACAAAUGGACAUGUCUCAACAACACAUCCAUGGGAGGUGGACAACCUGUGGACACCUGGGAUGCUAGAUGGCGCAUCGGCUGACAACCUUUUUAGAGCCUCAAGAAGUUGAUUUGUUAGGAUCUGUGAAAGUAGAUAUGUGUUUAUUUUUCAAUUAUGCAGGGCAAAACCAAUCGUUAGUUCAGAAUGUUAAUUCAUCUUUAUCUGUCUAUUGAAAUGAAUCUGUGUGGUGUAGCUAUACAUCUACUAAUAUAUCUAAAUCUUCUAACACACCAGUAUCACUCCCUCAAGGCAUCUUUUUAAUCUGAGGAGAUCGGGCAUGGCCUGGCAUUCCGUCACAUAUACGAGGAGGCCCCUGUAGCCUGGGAAGACUGGCAAUAUUGUCUCCAAAUAUCUCUGUGAUAUUGAAUCAUACUAGAGCCCAUCAUCUCCACAGAUUAAAAAGGACCACUCAUGCUUUUAAUUCUGACUGUUCUGAUGAUGUCACAUUUUGGAACCCCACCAGUAUAAUUACAGCAUCUUUUCUUACCCCAGGGGUAGCCGCUGCGCAAGCUCUGGCAGCUUUAAAUAAAUUAGGUUGUUGGCUAGCAAAACAAACAAAUGCUACCUCUGAUGCCCUUUCCGGUCUCCUCCUUGAUGUAGACUCCAUAAGACAUGCAACCCUAUAGAAUCGAGCGGCCACAGAUUUCCUCCUCCUUGCUUAUGGUUAUGGAUGUGAGGAUUUUGACGGCAUGUGUUGUAUGAACCUUUCAGAUCACUCUGAAUCGGUUCAUCAAAGUAUACAACUUCUUAAACAACUUAUAGAGAAACUUCAGGUUGAGGAUGAUUGGAAUCGUUCUUCAGGUUCAUUUGCUGGAUUAGGGUUGUGGACCAAAAAAUUAAUUUUAGUAGGAGCACUUAUUAAUAUUUCUUAGCUUGUUAAUAUGUAUCCCCUGUGUAAUCAAACUUAUACAAUCUCUUAUUGAUCAAGCUCUUAAACAGGUGAUGGUGGUGAAUGUGCAAAACAAAGAAGGGGGAGAUGUGGGAAGAGGUGGCAUCAGCAUGACAAGCUUGAGCAGUCCAUUGAACAGAAGCAGCGAGACCUUGAUACUGAACAAGCCCUGGGCUCAGUAGGCCAGGCUAGGCCAUAGGGCUGAGUCGUGAAUACCCAGACGAAUCAGUGGAGUGCAUGGACUGCUCAUGAAGCUGACGCGGCGGUGCGUGGACUGCACGUGAUAGCCUCAGGCACAGAUAAGCAACGUGCUGUGGAAAGUCCCUGCGGAAAGCCCCUGGAAAACCCCAGGGGAGGUUCUGGGCGGAGAGAUUGUGUAUAAAUAGGGCUUGCCCAAAAUAAAGUUUGUCUCAGCAUUCUCA
rnacentral:lncRNA from 1 species